rnacentral:misc_RNA from 1 species
GUGAGUCAUCGAAUCUUUGAACGCAUAUUGCGCUCUUUGGUAUUCCGAAGAGCAUGCUUGUUUGAGUAUCAGUAAACACCUCAAAACUCUUGAUUUUUUUCAAGUGGUUUUGGACUUGAGCAAACCCAACGCCUCCUCUCCUGGUGCGCGGCGGGUUGCUUGAAAUGCAGGUGCAGCUGGACAAUCUCCUGAGCUAAAAGCAUAUUUAUUUAGUCCCGUCAAACGGAUUAUUACUUUUGCUGCAGCUAACAUAAAGGGAGUUUUGACCAAUUUGGCUGACUGAUGCAGGAUUUCACAGACGGUCGGAAACGAUCUCUGUAAAACUCGAUCUCAAAUCAAGUAAGACUACCCGCUGAACUUAAGCAUAUCAAUAAGCGGAGGA